UACGUAGGGGGCAAGCGUUAUCCGGAUUUACUGGGUGUAAAGGGAGCGUAGACGGCGAUGCAAGUCUGAAGUGAAAGGCGGGGGCCCAACCCCCGGACUGCUUUGGAAACUGUAUGGCUGGAGUGCAGGAGAGGUAAGUGGAAUUCCUAGUGUAGCGGUGAAAUGCGUAGAUAUUAGGAGGAACACCAGUGGCGAAGGCGGCUUACUGGACCGUAACUGACGUUGAGGCUCGAAAGCGUGGGGAGCAAACAGG
rnacentral:rRNA from 1 species